GACGAACGCUGGCGGCGUGGAUUAGGCAUGCAAGUCGAACGGUAUCAUCCUUUCGGGGGUGAGAGAGUGGCGAACUGGUGAGUAACACGUAGGUUAUCUACCCUCAAGACGGGGACAACCCAGGGAAACUUGGGCUAAUACCGGAUGUGAGCAACUUUUAGUUGUUUGAAAGGUGGUGUAAGCUGUCGCUUGGGGAUGAGCCUGCGUCCUAUUAGUUAGUUGGUGAGGUAACGGCUCACCUAGGCAAUGAUAGGUAGGCGGCCUUAACGGGUGGUCGCCCACACUGGGAUUGGAGAUACGGCCCAGACUCCUACGGGAGGCAGCAGUCGAGAAUAGUCUACAAUGGUCGGAAGACUGAUAGUGCGACGCCGCGUGAACGAUGAAUCCCUUCGGGGUGUAAAGUUCUUUUAUAUGUGAGCAGUGCUUCUUAUAUUAACAGUAUGGGGAAGAGAUAUUAGCAUAUGAAUAAGCAACGGCUAACUCCGUGCCAGCAGCCCGCGGUAAAA
rnacentral:rRNA from 1 species